ACCCGCUGCGGUUAACCCACAGCCGCAACGGUUCCCGUACCGCCCGGGUCGGAGAACAAUGCCGCGCCCUGCACGUAGAGCCUCGCGGUGCCGCGCCCUGGGGCGGGCCUGCCCAUGGCCUGCCGGGAAAUGUAGUUUCUGAUGCCCUGCCCGCGCCGCCUCGCCGCUCGCCCGCCGGGCGCCCCAAGCAACUACAACUUCCAUCACGCUCUGCGAGGCCUUGAUCUGCAGGCUUUUGCAGGGAAAGGAGUGGGGCGAACAUGGCUGAAGGAAGCCGAGGUGGCCCUACGUGUAGCGGGGUGGGUGGCAGGCAGGACCCAGUCUCCGGCAGUGGCGGCUGCAACUUUCCAGAGUAUGAGCUUCCCGAGCUAAAUACGCGCGCUUUCCAUGUGGGCGCCUUUGGGGAGCUGUGGCGGGGCCGUCUGCGCGGGGCCGGGGACUUGUCGCUGAGGGAGCCGCCGGCAUCCGCUCUGCCUGGGAGCCAGGCAGCUGACUCCGACCGGGAGGAUGCCGCGGUGGCCAGGGAUCUGGACUGCAGCCUGGAGGCGGCGGCUGAGCUGAGGGCGGUGUGCGGCCUUGAUAAACUGAAAUGCCUUGAGGACGGUGAGGAUCCAGAAGUCAUUCCGGAGAAUACUGACCUGGUGACUUUGGGGGUUAGAAAAAGGUUCUUGGAACAUCGGGAAGAAACCAUUACAAUAGAUCGAGCCUGCAGACAAGAAACAUUCGUUUAUGAGAUGGAGUCACAUGCCAUAGGAAAAAAGCCUGAAAAUUCAGCAGACAUGAUUGAAGAAGGGGAGCUUAUCCUAUCUGUGAAUAUCUUGUACCCUGUUAUAUUUCAUAAGCACAAAGAACACAAACCAUACCAAACAAUGCUGGUGUUGGGCAGUCAAAAACUCACACAACUGAGGGAUUCAAUUCGCUGUGUCAGUGACCUCCAGAUUGGUGGUGAAUUCAGCAACACUCCUGACCAAGCCCCUGAGCACAUCAGCAAAGACCUAUACAAAUCAGCCUUCUUUUAUUUUGAAGGAACAUUUUAUAAUGAUAAAAGAUACCCAGAAUGCAGAGAUUUGAGCAGAACUAUCAUUGAGUGGUCAGAGUCCCAUGAUAGAGGCUAUGGAAAGUUUCAGACUGCUAGAAUGGAAGAUUUCACCUUCAAUGACUUGUGUAUUAAACUGGGUUUUCCUUACUUAUACUGUCAUCAGGGAGACUGUGAACAUGUCAUUGUCAUUACUGACAUAAGGCUUGUGCAUCAUGAUGACUGCUUGGAUAGGACAUUGUAUCCCCUCCUUAUCAAGAAGCAUUGGCUAUGGACCAGAAAAUGUUUUGUUUGUAAAAUGUAUACAGCUAGAUGGGUGACGAACAAUGACAGUUUUGCACCAGAGGACCCAUGCUUCUUUUGCGAUGUUUGCUUCCGAAUGCUGCACUAUGAUUCAGAAGGCAACAAACUGGGGGAAUUCCUUGCUUAUCCUUAUGUUGAUCCUGGAACCUUUAAUUAAGAAUAGCUACACUCACAAAAGUACCCCCUCAUGAAAUCACUGUUCUCUUGGAUGGUUACCUUAUUUCUAAGAAACGCCACUGAGGAACAGGAUCCACUUUCAACAGUCCUCUGAAGCUAUCAAAAAAAAGUCCAAAUCACAGAUUUUCUUAUAAUGAUAGUAUUUAAAUGUUUAUAACAUAGUUUAAUUUUAUAUUUAUUCCAGAUAGUAUUUAAUUUAGUGCUUUUUACCCAUUUUGAGUUGAGUUGUAGUACUUUAUAUAUUCUGACUUUAAAUCCUUUGUCAGACACACAUAUUCUUUCUCCCAAUCCAUGCCUUCCCUAUUCAUUCUCUGUCAGAGUUUUUUGCUAAAGAUAGAAUUAUUAAUGAUACAUCAAGUAGUGGAAGUGUUUUGAAAAUUCUUUGAAGAAUGUGAGAGCUACACCUUCUACCAUGAGGCUUCCAAGGCUGGAAUACAAUGGCGCAAUCUCAGCUCACUGCAGCCUCCGCCUCCCGGAUUCAAGUGAUUCUCCUGCCACAGCCUCCUGAGUAGCUGGGAUUACAGGCACCUGGCACCAUGCCUGGCUAAUUUUUGUAUUUUUAGUAGAGACGGGGUUUCACCAUGUUGGCCAGGCUGGUCUCAAACUCCUAACCUCAGGCGAUCCACCCGCCUAAGCCUCCCAAAAUGUUGGGAUCACAGGCGUGAGCCACCGCGCCCGGCUGCUUUGGGGGAAUUUAAUCUUAGUGUGCUGUUUAGUAAUGUUAGGUUUUGUUUUGAAGGAAACUAGGCAUACAAGACAUGUUAAUAAGACAAUGUGAAUAAUGAAUUUAAAAAGAUCUUGAGUAUAUACUCAUAACUCCAGAAAUAACAUUAACUUGAAGCUUUAUUUCUUGACAAAAGCUUUAUGAAUGUUACGAGUUUAAAAUAUGUCAAUUUAAUACUAUGAUUUAAAAAAUAGCAGAUUUCGUAUGACUGUGGGGACAUGGAAAAAUCAAGAUCCUAUUGAUUGCUAGCUCUGGCUCACUUAUUCUCCGGUAAUGAUACUAUUGGAUAUAUACCAAAAUUAUAUAAGCAAAAAGAAAAAAAAUAAGUUUUCCUGGCCCAGGUCUUCCAUUCUUCUGGUCCCCUUACUAUAGUAAUUCUAGUUACUCUCAUCUUAUUCUGAGAAAAAAAAAAAAAAAAAAACUUUUUAAACUUAUUUUUUGACAUAGGGUCUUACUGUGUCACCCAGGCUGGAGUACAGUGGCGUGAUCUUGGCUCACUGGAGCCCUGACCUCCCUAGGCUCAGGUGAUCCUCCCACCUCAGCCUACCGAGUAGCUGAGACAUGGUGGCACAGGCCACCAUGGCGGGCUAAUUUUUUUAUUUCUUGUAGAUACAGGGUUUCACUAUGUUGCACAGAAUAGUCUCGAACUCCUGACCUCAAGUGAUCCAUCCGCCUUGGCCUCCCAGAGUGCUGGGAUUACAGGCAUGAACCACAGCACCCAGCAAAAUAAACUUUCUUUAUUUUCAGGUCUAGACCAUCAGAUAGAUUUAUUCAAAUAUUUUCUGGGAACCUUUAUGGGUAGAAAAUUUAAUACUGUUUAGAAAACUUUUAGGAAUACUAUAGAUUUCAAAUGCAUCAUUUAAAAUAAAUAAAUUCCACUUUCUCCUAGGUUGUAUUUAAAUUUGACUAUCUGGAUGGCUAAGAACAGACAUUUAUCUUAUACAUGGAAAACUGACGAAACCUAUAAGCCUAUGUGUUUGACAGUGAAGUAUGUUUUAUGGAUUUAAAUGCCACAAACAGUUAAGUCCAUUGGCUUGGAGAUGACAAGCACGAGUUUCUGGUAUGUCUAGUGUUCUCAUUCACUGAUUCAGUCAGUACACAGAUAAUCAGUAUAGAGAACUUAAGAGGCUGGCUUAUGUUAUACCUAAAUUUUUACUUUCUUGUAUACAACAAUGCUAAAAUUGAGCAGAUUGAUAACUGCCAGCAAACCAUAGAUUUAAGAUAAAUGAAUGAUUUACCCAACCCUAAAAUUCCAUGGGUAAAAAUUUUGAUUCCUUUAUUUUCAAUACUGCGUUCCUUAUAGGUCUUACAUGCAUAUGCAAGGAUAUUUUAUCUUAUUCAUUCAUUUCAUACUCUCAAAACACCAAACUUCAAAAAGUUAAUUAUUGUCAUAAUGCAUUAUUCCAUGUGUGGUGUCAGUUCAUUUUAGCGGACAAAGAAAAAACAUGCCAGUUAAAACAUUUCUGCUACUGGGAUUCUUUAUUAAUUAUUUGAGAAUGUUGUUCUGCUAGUUCUUAAAGUUAACUUUUUCAUCAAAGACUCAGGUACCUAUUGUUGUUCCCCUGGUGAAACUGAGGAGAAAAGUUAAUCAACCAGGUUACUCCCACAGUUUGCCCGUGUGUUAUGUAUCAGUUAUACAGGUAUCCCACCAAGUUCAAGUCAAAAGAAAUUCCUAACUUUGUAUAUUUCUGGAGCUAUAAAACCCCUGAUUUAAGACA